UACAGAGGGUGCAAGCGUUAAUCGGAAUUACUGGGCGUAAAGCGCGCGUAGGUGGUUCGUUAAGUUGGAUGUGAAAUCCCCGGGGCUCAACCUGGGAACUGCAUUCAAAACUGUCGAGCUAGAGUAUGGUAGAGGGUGGUGGAAUUCCUGUGUAGCGGUGAAAUGCGUAGAUAUAGGAAGGAACACCAGUGGCGAAGGCGACCACCUGGACUGAUACUGACACUGAGGUGCGAAAGCGUGGGGAGCAAACAGG
rnacentral:rRNA from 1 species